rnacentral:rRNA from 1 species
CCUACGGGAGGCAGCAGUGGGGAAUAUUGCACAAUGGGGGAAACCCUGAUGCAGCGACGCCGCGUGAGUGAAGAAGUAUUUCGGUAUGUAAAGCUCUAUCAGCAGGGAAGAAGAAAGACGGUACCUGACUAAGAAGCCCCGGCUAACUACGUGCCAGCAGCCGCGGUAAUACGUAGGGGGCAAGCGUUAUCCGGAUUUACUGGGUGUAAAGGGAGCGUAGACGGCGGUGAAAGUCUGAGGUGAAAGCCCAGGGCCCAACCCUGGGACUGCUUUGGAAACUGUGGGGCUAGAGUGCGGGAGAGGUAAGUGAAAUUCUUAGGGUAGCGGUGAAAUGGGUAGAAAUAAGGAGGACCCCCAGUGGCGAGGGCGGCUUACUGAACAGUA